rnacentral:rRNA from 1 species
GAUGAACGCGGGCGGUGUGCCUAAUACAUGCAAGUCGAGCGCACUGGCCCAACUGAUAUGACGUGCUUGCACUGAAUUGACGUUGGAUUCCCCAGUGAGCGGCGGACGGGUGAGUAACACGUGGGCAACCUGCCCUGAAGCGGGGGAUAACAUCUGGAAACAGAUGCUAAUACCGCAUAACAACGAAAACCACAUGGUUUUCGUUUCAAAGAUGGUUUCGGCUAUCACUUCAGGAUGGGCCCGCGGUGCAUUAGCUAGUUGGUAAGGUAACGGCUUACCAAGGCGAUGAUGCAUAGCCGAGUUGAGAGACUGAUCGGCCACAAUGGAACUGAGACACGGUCCAUACUCCUACGGGAGGCAGCAGUAGGGAAUCUUCCACAAUGGGCGCAAGCCUGAUGGAGCAACACCGCGUGAGUGAAGAAGGGUUUCGGCUCGUAAAGCUCUGUUGUUGGAGAAGAACGUGCGUGAGAGUAACUGUUCACGCAGUGACGGUAUCCAACCAGAAAGUCACGGCUAACUACGUGCCAGCAGCCGCGGUAAUACGUAGGUGGCAAGCGUUAUCCGGAUUUAUUGGGCGUAAAGCGAGCGCAGGCGGUUGCUUAGGUCUGAUGUGAAAGCCUUCGGCUUAACCGAAGAAGUGCAUCGGAAACCGGGCGACUUGAGUGCAGAAGAGGACAGUGGAACUCCAUGUGUAGCGGUGGAAUGCGUAGAUAUAUGGAAGAACACCAGUGGCGAAGGCGGCUGUCUGGUCUGCAACUGACGCUGAGGCUCGAAAGCAUGGGUAGCGAACAGG